rnacentral:tmRNA from 1 species
GGGGGUGCCAUGGUUUCGACAGGGGUUGCAAAGCGGAUGAGGGCAUGUCGGGGUCUCAGCUGCCCGUAAAAACAACUGAAAACAUAUAGUCGCAAACGACGAAACUUACGCUCUAGCUGCUUAAGCUAGACUCUGCACCGCAAGGCCCAUCGGGCGGGUCGGGUAAAACCGGCAGCAGAGUCAUUUAGAUGGGAUCGCUUUAAGUCGGGUUACUUGGCUUAGGGUUAAACUAAGGUGACUCGCUCUCUUCAAGCCUGCCCAUCGGCGUGAUUGAGAGUUAAAACCCAAAUGAUACGGCUAAACAUGUAGAACUCACUGUAGAGUGCUUCUGGACGGGGGUUCAACUCCCCCCACCUCCACCA